ACAGGGGGAUAACACUGAGAAAUUGGUACUAAUACCCCAUAACAUCAGGACCGGCAUCGGUUCUGGUUGAAAACUCCGUUGGUUAUGGAUGGGCAUGCGUUGUAUUAGCUGGUUGGUGAGGUAACGGCUCACCAAGGCAACGAUACAUAGGGGGACUGAGAGGUUAACCCCCCACAUUGGUACUGAGACACGGACCAAACUCCUACGGGAGGCAGCAGUGAGGAAUAUUGGUCAAUGGACGCAAGUCUGAACCAGCCAUGCCGCGUGCAGGAAGACGGCUCUAUGAGUUGUAAACUGCUUUUGUACGAGGGUAAACGCUCUUACGUGUAAGAGCCUGAAAGUAUCGUACGAAUAAGGAUCGGCUAACUCCGUGCCAGCAGCCGCGGUAAUACGGAGGAUCCAAGCGUUAUCCGGAUUUAUUGGGUUUAAAGGGUGCGUAGGCGGUUUGAUAAGUUAGAGGUGAAAUACCGGUGCUUAACACCGGAACUGCCUCUAAUACUGUUGAACUAGAGAGUAGUUGCGGUAGGCGGAAUGUAUGGUGUAGCGGUGAAAUGCUUAGAGAUCAUACAGAACACCGAUUGCGAAGGCAGCUUACCAAACUAUAUCUGACGUUGAGGCACGAAAGCGUGGGGAGCAAACAGGAUUAGAUACCCUGGUAGUCCACGCAGUAAACGAUGAUAACUCGCUGUCGGCGAUACACGGUCGGCGGCUAAGCGAAAGCGAUAAGUUAUCCACCUGGGGAGUAC
rnacentral:rRNA from 1 species